UACGGAGGGUGCAAGCGUUAUCCGGAUUCACUGGGUUUAAAGGGUGCGUAGGCGGGCGAUUAAGUCUGUGGUGAAAUCUCUGAGCUUAACUCGGAAACUGCCAUGGAUACUAAUUGUCUUGAAUGUUGUGGAGGUGAGCGGAAUAUGUCAUGUAGCGGUGAAAUGCUUAGAUAUGACAUAGAACACCAAUUGCGAAGGCAGCUCACUACACAAAUAUUGACGCUGAGGCACGAAAGCGUGGGGAUCAAACAGG
rnacentral:rRNA from 1 species